rnacentral:lncRNA from 1 species
UCAUCUCUCAAUUAUUACAAUUUAUUAUAAUUUGUCUUGCGAUAUUAUUCUUUUUGUUUAUAAUUAGCUUAUAGAUUAACACUUUGUGUAUAUAAACAAUUCAAUAUUAUUUAUACUUUGUAAAAAAGAAAUGAAAAAAAAAUUAACAGAAAAAUAAAAGAAUAUGAAAAUGAUAUACUCCAUUCAUCCUAUAAAAACAUGCAUAGUGUGAGACGUCACAUGUUUUAAGAAAUCAUGCAAAGUAUAGUGUAAGUGGAGAAAGGGUCCCACAUUGAUUACGAUAUAUAGAGGGAUAAUUAUUAC